rnacentral:rRNA from 1 species
UACGGAGGAUGCGAGCGUUAUCCGGAUUUAUUGGGUUUAAAGGGUGCGCAGGCGGCGUGUCAAGCAAGCGGUAAAAUAGCGGGGCUCAACCCCGUCGAGCCGUUUGAACUGGCGCGCUUGAGUUGGGGAAAGGCAGGCGGAAUGCGCGGUGUAGCGGUGAAAUGCAUAGAUAUCGCGCAGAACCCCGAUUGCGAAGGCAGCGUACCGGCGCCACACUGACGCUGAGGCACGAAAGCGUGGGGAUCGAACAGG